UAUUAUCAGAAAGGACUUUGUGCAUAUGGUAGUAGUCGUUGCAGAUACGAACAUGUUAAAGCUUCUCGACGCCAUUCUUCUGCUUCAUCUUCAUCAACAAAUGCACGCCAAUCUCUCGUUUCGGUCCAUUGAUUGCAAGCACUUCGAUUUUGGGAAUGGAAACCGCCCAUUUGGGAGUAGUUGAUUUUAUAAGCAUAAGGUCAAGCCAGGCUCAUACACUUGGAGACAUCAUAGGCCCCCUUCGCCCCCUCCACAAAGGCCCCCUCCACGAAGAUCUGGUUUUGUGGACGUUUGAUAUGUUAACUCCAUAGAAGAAUUAACAACCUCCGAGACAGCUCUUGACCCCAUGGAAGAAUUAACAUCCUUGGAGAUGGCUCUUUUAUUAAGGGAUCUGAUUCUGGAUACAUCUGACUCAUCAAGUGAUGAAGAAGAUUUUUAUAGCCCAUGAGCUACUAGAUAUAGCCAGUUGUAAUCAUGUUGAUUGUCUGUGGGGAUUUUCUAAAAAUUGCCGUGUUGGCAUUUUGUCAGCCUACUACCCUUUGCAUUAGCAGAAAGACUUGCUUGUAGUUUUUGAACUCUAUAUUAUGACAAGAUACUAUUAUUUAUAAUUGAUAUCUUGGUUUCCCUGUGGGGUUA